UACAGAGGGGGCUAGCGUUGUUCGGAAUUACUGGGCGUAAAGGGCGCGUAGGCGGCCUUCUAAGUCGAACGUGAAAUCCCCGGGCUCAACCCGGGAACUGCGUCCGAUACUGGAAGGCUUGAAUCCGGGAGAGGGAUGUGGAAUUCCAGGUGUAGCGGUGAAAUGCGUAGAUAUCUGGAGGAACACCGGUGGCGAAGGCGACAUCCUGGACCGGUAUUGACGCUGAGGCGCGAAAGCCAGGGGAGCAAACGGG
rnacentral:rRNA from 1 species